rnacentral:lncRNA from 1 species
AUGAACAAGAUCCGAAAGUUUUUCCGAGGAAGUGGGAGAGUCCUGGCAUUUAUAUUUGCAGCUUCUGUCAUCUGGCUGCUCUUUGACAUGGCAGCUCUCCGCCUCUCAUUCAGCGAGAUCAACACUCAGAUCCUGAAGGAAGACAUUGUUCGGAGGGAGCGGGUAGGGUUCAGAGUUCAGUCAGACCAGGUAAAGAGCCUUGACAGCAGCAGGACGGAAAUGAAGCCCCUACCAAAGGGACACGGGAAGGGCAUGUGGGGCAAAGAGAAUUUUAGGAAGACUGAGGAGAGUAAGCUCAAGGUCGAGGAUGAUUUGGACCAAACCCAAAAGGAAAGAAAAGUACAGAACGCCCCGGGAAGAGGCAAGGUUGCGCCUUUGUGGCAUCCUGCAUAUAGGCAGACUCACCCAGUGACUUUUACCAAGUGGGAGACAGAGGGGCGAGACAUCCAACCUGCAGUUUCCUCUCACCCCAUGACACCAGAGCAAACGACAAUUCAGGGGCUUGAGAAAACUCCAUUCAUUGCAGCAAGGGGAACUCCACUGGCCAAAAUAUCUGUGCACACAGGACCUGUCAGUAUGAACAAGCAGGGCCCGAAGAGCCAUGGUCUCAACAGUGACACAUCAAAGCAAGCAGCUGAGAGGUACCCGGAUGUGACCACCAGUCUUAGUAGAUCAAAGCAGCAGUACCAGGCAGGAGUAAAUAAAAGGACCUACUCUGCCAGCCCACCAGUGCCAAGACCCAGGGAAGCCAUAGCCUUAAAUAAAACUGAGACUCAGAGCAAAGAACUGAAUGCAAAUAAACACAAAGCCAAUAAGAACCUUACCUUUUCCAAGUUCAUUGCCAAUUCAGAUCGCUUAAAGAAGCCAUCUAUUAAUAAGCUACAGUGGGGAGGCUUGCUGAAGGAUGACGGAGGCAAGGUGGCUGAUGGGAAGAAACUCAAUUUGUCUGAAAGCCAUGUUGUAAUUAUAACCAAGGAGGAGGAGCUAAAGACAGAUACCAAAGACAUCCCCAAUUCCAACACCACAACUACAUCUACUAUAGUAUCGGGCAAAAGCCAAGAGAAACACAUUGGCAUGAAGAGCAAUGAGGCAUCUUUCUCUUCACUUGCUCUACAGAGAGCAGCAGUGUCUCAAACCAGUCAAGCCUUAACUCGGGGACAGGAGCUAGGAAGGACCAACUUAACUGCCAAGACCCGGCCUGCACGACUCAACCAAAGUCAGACAAAAGCCCUUUCACCUGAAGAUGACGGAAUGCACCGUGUGUUAAGAAUUGAUGUGACGCUUUCUCCAAGGGACCCCAAAGCUCCAGGUCAGUUUGGACGUCCAGUCGUUGUUCCCCACGGAAAAGAGAAGGAGGUGGAAAGAAGAUGGAAAGAAGGAAACUUCAAUGUCUACCUCAGCGAUUUGAUCCCAGUGGACAGAGCCAUUGAAGACACAAGACCUGCUGGGUGUGCAGAGCAACUUGUUCACAAUAACCUCCCAACCACCAGCGUCAUCAUGUGCUUUGUGGACGAGGUGUGGUCCACUCUCCUGAGGUCUGUGCAUAGCGUCCUCAACCGCUCUCCUCCCCACCUCAUCAAGGAGAUUCUACUAGUGGAUGACUUCAGCACCAAAGGUGAUGUGUUGACAUUCUUAGAUUCUCACGUGGAAUGUAACAUUGGCUGGUUGGAACCUCUCCUGGAAAGAGUUUACUUAAGCAGAAAAAAAGUAGCCUGUCCAGUAAUUGAAGUCAUCAAUGAUAAGGAUAUGAGUUACAUGACAGUGGACAACUUUCAAAGAGGCAUAUUUGUGUGGCCAAUGAACUUUGGUUGGAGAACAAUUCCUCCAGACGUUGUUGCAAAAAACAAAAUUAAAGAAACUGAUAUAAUAAGAUGUCCCGUCAUGGCAGGUGGAUUAUUUUCUAUUGAUAAAAAUUACUUUUUUGAACUCGGAACAUAUGAUCCUGGGCUCGAUGUUUGGGGUGGAGAAAAUAUGGAGCUCUCUUUCAAGGUGUGGAUGUGUGGUGGUGAAAUUGAGAUCAUUCCCUGUUCCCGAGUGGGACACAUAUUCCGGAAUGACAAUCCCUACUCCUUCCCCAAAGACCGGAUGAAGACGGUGGAGCGGAACUUGGGGCGGGUGGCUGAGGUCUGGCUCGAUGAGUACAAGGAGCUCUUCUACGGCCACGGGGAUCACCUCAUAGACCAAGGGUUAGACGUCGGAAACCUUACCCAGCAGCGGGAACUUCGAAAGAAGCUAAAAUGCAAAAGCUUCAAGUGGUACUUGGAGAAUGUUUUUCCAGACUUGAAGGCUCCCAUUGUGAGGGCGAGUGGUGUGCUUAUUAAUGUGGCCUUGGGUAAAUGCAUUUCCAUCAGAAACACCACAGCCAUUCUGGAAGACUGUGAUGGGAGCAGCAAGCUUCAACAAUUUAAUUACACCUGGUUAAGGCUUAUUAAACACAGAGCGUGGUGCUUAGCUCCUGUGCCUGAUAACGGGGCCCUGAGGCUGCACCUUUGUGAUAACAGAAACAAAGGGCUAAGAUGGCUGCAUAAAUCAACAUCAGUGGUCCGUCCAGAACUGGUGAACCACAUUGUUUUCGGAAACCAUCAUCAGUUGUUAUGCUUGGAAGGAAGUUUUACUCAGAAGACCCUGAAAGCUGCUCCUUGUGACCCAGCAAAGCCAAAUCAAAAGUGGAAAUUUGAAAACUAUUAUGAAGACUGA